rnacentral:rRNA from 1 species
GACGAACGCCGGCGGCGUGCCUAAUACAUGCAAGUAGAACGCUGAGGUUUGGUGUUUACACUAGACUGAUGAGUUGCGAACGGGUGAGUAACGCGUAGGUAACCUGCCUCAUAGCGGGGGAUAACUAUUGGAAACGAUAGCUAAUACCGCAUAAGAGUAAUUAACACAUGUUAGUUAUUUAAAAGGAGCAAUUGCUUCACUGUGAGAUGGACCUGCGUUGUAUUAGCUAGUUGGUGAGGUAAAGGCUCACCAAGGCGACGAUACAUAGCCGACCUGAGAGGGUGAUCGGCCACACUGGGACUGAGACACGGCCCAGACUCCUACGGGAGGCAGCAGUAGGGAAUCUUCGGCAAUGGACGGAAGUCUGACCGAGCAACGCCGCGUGAGUGAAGAAGGUUUUCGGAUCGUAAAGCUCUGUUGUUAGAGAAGAACGUUGGUAGGAGUGGAAAAUCUACCAAGUGACGGUAACUAACCAGAAAGGGACGGCUAACUACGUGCCAGCAGCCGCGGUAAUACGUAGGUCCCGAGCGUUGUCCGGAUUUAUUGGGCGUAAAGCGAGCGCAGGCGGUUCUUUAAGUCUGAAGUUAAAGGCAGUGGCUUAACCAUUGUACGCUUUGGAAACUGGAGGACUUGAGUGCAGAAGGGGAGAGUGGAAUUCCAUGUGUAGCGGUGAAAUGCGUAGAUAUAUGGAGGAACACCGGUGGCGAAAGCGGCUCUCUGGUCUGUAACUGACGCUGAGGCUCGAAAGCGUGGGGAGCAAACAGG